rnacentral:lncRNA from 10 species
ACUAUCUGUCAUCCUCAUUCUAGCUUAAAAUGCUUCUGUGGCCUCCCGUGGACCUGAGGAUGAGGACUAACUCUGCUCUGCAUGCAGGCCCUCCUGAGUCAGGCCUUCUUCUCCAGGCUGGUCGCCCACAGUCAUUCUGCCCUCCAGCCAUCCCAAGCCAGAAGGCCUCCUUCUCAGAACUACUGAUUUCACACUUCCCUGUGUUGUACUUUCCCCACCACCCCGACUAGGCAUGCUGCUCCCUCUAUCCUUGCAAACAGAACAUGGCUGUGCAGUCGGCGAGGACAUCCUUCCAGGCUUCCUGACCACAGGCAGGUGAGAGGCCCUCUCCUUGUGUCCUGUGCAUGCCCACACCUCCCUCUUUACUCUUGCUGUGUUGUUGAUGACAGUUUUCUGGUUUUCACAGACUGUUUAGCCAGUCUUUUGUUCCCUUCUGUGUUGCCCUCAGUGCUUGGCACAUUACAGAUGUUUCAUGAGUAUUUGUUAAGUGAGUGAGUACAUUCUAGACAUGGCUACACAUCUGGCUUUAUGUAAGCCUUGCAACUCUCCUCUGAGAGGAUCAUCUUGUUACCUGGUUAGAAAUGGGAAAAUGUGAAAACCAGAGUGAGGUUAGGCCCCUUGCAGAGCUCACAGAGAGGCAGAGCUGGAACUUGAACCUCAGCCUUUGAAGUGUGGUCUAUUUUGCCACAGUUAUCCCCUCCUCAUCCUGUUUCUCUUCUCACUUCAAGUUUCUUGGUUUCUUGCCAGUGAAGGUUUUUAGAGGACGUGUUGCCCCUGAGGAAAAUUCCUGCUAGUCUGGAGUGUGGCUCAUCGUAUCUGGUCCUGCACAGCCUCUCGCCUGUCAAUCAAACUGGACACUGAGCUUUGGACUCAGCCAGGAACUAGGCAUAUAGGAUGGGGUGGGGGUGGGUGGUGAGCAGGAGGAUUUUGGGAUAAGGUUUUUGCCCUCCAGGUACUCACAACCAAAAUGUAGAGAUAGGUACACCAAGGAAAGUGAAGGGUUAUCUGCAGACAGACACCACUUUGUGCAAACAGGUAGUCAGUCCUCAGAAGUGGGUGGGAAAGAGGGCUUCGCGGAUCUGGGCAGGGGACGCUUCUUGAGAAGGUGGAAUUUGAGCUGUGCCUUGAAGAUGGGCAUGGUUUAGAUAAUAUGAGGAAAGGAGAGAGCCAGAGGUUGGGGGUGGGCUCUGGGCAGGAGGGGAGAGCAGAGCGUGCAGGGAUGUGGCUGUGGGAAAAUACCAAGUAGGCUCCACAGAGGACAAGGGACAGCAGACAGGAAUCCUUUAGGGCUGGGUGGGAAGAAUGGAAAAGGAGGUUGGGGGCAGAUUGUGGAGGCCUUGAAA